UACGGGGGGGGCAAGCGUUGUUCGGAAUUACUGGGCGUAAAGGGCUCGUAGGUGGCCAAUUAAGUCAGACGUGAAAUCCCUCAGCCUAACUGGGGAACUGCGUCUGAUACUGGAUGGCUUGAGUUUGGGAGAGGGAUGCGGAAUUCCAGGUGUAGCGGUGAAAUGCGUAGAUAUCUGGAGGAACACCGGUGGCGAAGGCGGCAUCUUGGACCAACACUGACACUGAGGAGCGAAAGCCAGGGGAGCAAACGGG
rnacentral:rRNA from 1 species